rnacentral:rRNA from 1 species
AUGGGACCGUACAUCCCACCAGCAGAGCUCCUAGUCACUGUGCACGCGCCCCUCUGGACCGGCCAUGCCCUUCCAUGGAGACACUCGGGGGCUGCCCUUGUUGAACGCCCAAGCUCCAGUAAAGGUUGUGCCCAGCUGCCCUUGUUGAACGCCCAAGCUCCAGUAAAGGUUGUGCUGGGCACGACAGUUGCAAGGUCUCCAGACACUCUGUGUUCAUCGCUUGGUGCUGAGCUGCAAGGCAUGUUGGAGACGGCUCUCCUCCCUCUGCGCAUGCUAGAGGACUAUUUGUGCUCGUGGUUGGCAUGUGCUACCAUCCUAUUGGAGUUUGCGGAUGUGUCCGAUGGUGAGAGAAGGUUGAGCACAGGCUCCCAGGGACCUUGCUCAUCAGACAGCGUCGUUGAUGGCCCAUUGCCGGCGAUGCAGGCGCCACUGGUGGCAGAAGAUGGGUAUCAAGGUGUUGUGGGCAACUUCCACUGUGUUCGGUUGAGGUCAUAA